rnacentral:tRNA from 2 species
UUUAUAGUAGGAAAGUUUUCUAAACUUUUUAUCUUUUUGAACUAUAAGU